UGGGAAUAUUGGACAAUGGGAGAAAUCCUGAUCCAGCAAUCCCGCGUGAGUGAUGAAGGCCUUCGGGUCGUAAAGCUCUUUUAAUGGGGAAGAAGGGAAACUUGACGGUACCCAUAGAAAAAGCACCGGCUAACUCUGUGCCAGCAGCCGCGGUAAUACAGAGGGUGCAAGCGUUGUUCGGAAUUAUUGGGCGUAAAGCGCGUGUAGGUGGCUUACUAAGUCUGGUGUGAAAGCCCGGGGCUCAACCCCGGAAGUGCACUGGAUACUGGAAAGCUAGAGGGCGAGAGAGGAGAUUGGAAUUCAUGGUGUAGGGGUGAAAUCCGUAGAUAUCAUGAGGAACAUCUGUGGCGAAGGCGAAUCUCUGGCUCGUUUCUGACACUAAGACGCGAAAGCGUGGGGAGCAAAC
rnacentral:rRNA from 1 species